rnacentral:lncRNA from 1 species
GCUCUUGGACUUCAAAAUUUGGCUCUCUUAACUUGGGCUCCAGGGAUCGCUUAGAAUGAACCGCGACCGCGGAGGAAAGUAGCGCGGUUCGCAUAAACAUGAAGGCGGAUCACAUGGCUUGAAGUUGGGCAGAUUACACCUCUCUAAACUUCUCCACCGUGGAGCGCACACAAAGGUAGUGCGGCCACGGAGCCUUCACCGUGGACUGCACACUUCGUAUUGCGACCGUGAUUCCUUAAUCAUCAUUUUUCCAACUAUCUAAACCCCUAGUGUGGACCGCACAAAAUCGAAUGCGGCCGCACUAGGCUUGCUUGCCUUCAGUUUGCCUUGUCUUUGAUACUUGAGUAGGUUUCACUCCUUUUGAGCCGAUCUUUGAUAUUUCGUCACUUUAUCGAUUAAACCUGCAAUCAAGCACACUUAUGAGCCUUUUUUGGACUAUUUUGUAACCAUUUAUAACCAAAGCAUAAGCAAGAAGGAUCCUAAAACACAACAACAUAACUAGUUAUAAGUUGUGCAGAUGGGGUAGCAGCUAGAGAUGUGAUCAUGGCCUGAGAACUCUACGGGGCACGCUAUGGCUGAGAAGUCUAUGAAGGUGUACCCUCCCAAGUCUUGGGCAAUCCCUAAACAUAUGGUGUGUUUCACCACACUGAAAGCAAGCUUUGGGAGGGCGUAGUGGUUGUGAGUGGCUCUGGCCAGGUCUACUGGACUAUUCUCUAAAAGCACCCCGCACAGGAGGCGCGCUAGAAAUCGGAGGUGCAUAAUAAGGCUCAUGAGAUAUGGGAGGAGAUGGAGCACUGCUGGCUGCUGGAAGAGCUGAAUGAACAGAGCAGCUGACAUAACCCUUACCAUGAGGACAUGCAGCUGGAGUACGGGCACCCGAGAAAUGUCCCAACUCUCGAGGCCUCUUGGCCUUCCUUUCCUCUCUCUCCCUAGCAUGCAUGCCUUCAUUCUUCUAAGAAAUGUGCACCACCUACUGAUAAAAAAUAUCCAUCUCCAACUCAUGAGCCAUGCUAGAUCUUAUGGGGGGAAUAAGCCCCUCAAUUAUCGACGAACUCUCUCGCGGACAGUAGAAACCAAGGCUGGUGCAUGCCUAGCCAAUCUAGUGCAGCGGAUAGCAUAGUCCGAAACAGUCAUAGCACCCUGGUGCAAAUGGUCAAACUCUAUGCCAUGCGUCCCUGAGGCUCUAAGGAACAAACUCUCUCAGGAACAUAUCCGAGAACUGGGUCCAAGUUAGUGAAACAAGCUCACCUGGACUGUCUAACUCAUAGGUGUGCCACAAAUCAUAGACGGCUCCCCGUCGCUAGAAAGUAGUGAAGGAAAACCCGCUCAAUCCUGAUAUAACAAUAGUGCAAAGAAUACAGUGUCACUUCAAUUGAAAUCCCAAGGCAUUAUAUGAUGCUGAAAAUCGGAGGAUCAUACUUUUUGAACAUCUCAAGUUUUCGCUGCUCAUCCUCUGAAGCAGAUGCCCCAUCCUCGAGCUCAACAUGCACUGCAGGUGGUACAUGAAUGAUCUCUAGGACCUUCUCAACAUGCACUUACUGCUCAAGAGUGGGUGGUGGGAUUCUGUGCUCCUCCCCCGCCUGGAAUGUGGCUGCUGCAAGGGGAAGCAACCUUGCCUGAGCCAACGUGGUGUACAUGCUCAUGAACUAUGCCAAAGUCUCCUAAACAGCUAGACUAGUAGUAGCAGUAGGCGUGUCUGGUGCAUGAACUUCGGCUGGAUGGUACAUCAGCAGCAACUCGCAUAAGUGCUCUAGCUUU